rnacentral:rRNA from 1 species
CCUACGGGAGGCAUCAGUGGGGAAUAUUGCACAAUGGGGGAAACCCUGAUGCAGCGACGCCGCGUGAGUGAAGAAGUAAUUCGUUAUGUAAAGCUCUAUCAGCAGGGAAGAAAAUGACGGUACCUGAGUAAGAAGCCCCGGGCAACUACGUGCCAGCAGCCGCGGUAAUACGUAGGGGGCAAGCGUUAUCCGGAUUUACUGGGGGUAAAGGGAGCGUAGACGGCAGUGCAAGUCUGGAGUGAAAGGCGGGGGGUCAACCCCCGGACGGCUCUGGAAACUGUACGGCUGGAGUGCAGGAGAGGUAAGUGGAAUGCCUGGUGUAGCGGUGAAAUGCGUAGAUAUUAGGAGGAACACCAGUGGCGAAGGCGGCUUACUGGACUGUAACUGACGUUGAGGCUCGAAAGCGUGGGGAGCAAACAGGAUUAGAUACCCGAGUAGUC